GACGAACGCUGGCGGCGUGCUUAACACAUGCAAGUCGAACGGUGAAGGGGUCUGCUUUUGUGGGCCCUGGAUGAGUGGCGAACGGGUGAGUAACACGUGAGUAACCUGCCCCCUUCUUCUGGAUAACCGCAUGAAAGUGUGGCUAAUACGGGAUAUUCUGGGUCUGUCGCAUGAUGGGUCUGGGAAAGAUUGCGCCUUUGGGUGUUUUUGGUGGGGGAUGGGCUCGCGGCCUAUCAGCUUGUUGGUGGGGGGAUGGCCUACCAAGGCGGUGACGGGUAGCCGGCCUGAGAGGGUGGACGGUCACACUGGGACUGAGACACGGCCCAGACUCCUACGGGAGGCAGCAGUGGGGAAUAUUGCACAAUGGGCGCAAGCCUGAUGCAGCGACGCCGCGUGAGGGAUGGAGGCCUUCGGGUUGUAAACCUCUUUCGCCAGUGAAGCAGGCCUGCUCCUUGUGGGUGGGUUGACGGUAGCUGGAUAAGAAGCGCCGGCUAACUACGUG
rnacentral:rRNA from 1 species